UGGGCUUCAAAUUAGUUUUUAAAAUGCAAAACGUUUAUAAAAAUAAGUGUAUAAAAUCUCGCAAAAUUUGUUCAGUUCCAAAGUGUUCAACAUAUUGUGAAAGUGAGGUAUCUCUACACAAAUUUCCCGAGGAUUUAACUUUUCGAAAGCAGUGGAAGAUUAAAUUGCGGAUAGGAAAGCCCAUAAGUAAAUAUAUGUUUGUAUGUAGUAAACAUUUUCGACCAGAAGAUUUUAUACAGCAUCUUCGACAUCUGUAAGGCGACGUUUAAAAAGAAUGUUUUACCAUCACAGAAUAUACCAGUUAGACCACAUGAUACAGUGCGAAACCCUGUACAACGAAGUGAUAGACCAUGAUUACAGUCCGAUAAUACCAAUGUAAAUCUAGAAGAAUUAGAAACAAUGGAUCAAACAAACAUCGAAGCAGUGGAAGAUAAUGUCCUUUCUGCAAAUAGCGCUCAAAAAGUAUUGGAAAUUCCAUUUGAUGUCCCGCAACCACAUUGUUCUUUUACCGUUUCAAAAGGCAUACAAACAGAGUGCUGUUAUUAUUAUAUUUCAAUUUUGAUACUUACUUAUACUCCAAUACGUGCGUUUAACAAUUGUCUUGAUAAAGACUGUUUCCUCUAAGGGUUGAACACAAUCAAAUAAGCAAAUGGAACGAAAAUGCAAAAGUAAACAAUCACGCGAACGUAUAGGAACCGUAGUAAAAGUUUUUGUUGUUCACUCCUAUUUCAAAUUUUUUGCAUGUCUCAACGCCAUCUAUUGGUUGAUGAUUUUCGCGAAUAGGCACUUUCAUUCGGCUACUUCCCGAUCAUGAUUUCAAGAUCGUGAUUCGUAGGAUCACGUUUUACGAAAGAACGCGCGAAUUUAAAUCAAAGUAUGGUUAAGUUUACGGCGUAGUACACAUUUGCAUUCGAAUUACGUAUUUUUUGUUUGAAUUAUGAAAAUUAUUUAAAUAUAGGUAGGUGGAAGUACUUGCAGGAUUAUGCUUCAGUUACAGAUAUAAAACUAACCUAACAUUUCAGCAGAAAUAUCCUUGCAUUAAUAGAUUAGGAGUUCGUGAUCAAUAAAGAAAUCACAAAACUUUUAUGUUCAGUUUGUUCACGAUUUGACAACCCAAACGCGUUUGGAUCAUUGAAAGAAAACGCGUAUUAGUAUGAUCUAAGUGUAACUCCUCUGGUAAGCCCGUAAGGGCCAUCUAGGAUAAAACAAUCGUAAUAGUUCACUCUAUAAAGGCCCGUUUGUAACGAUCACUUAUUUAGUCAAAUUUUUAGUCCUUUUUUUUCUUCAAUAAAGAUAAAGCUAUCCUAAAAAUGUCAUAAAUGAUGAAACUGUAUGUAACAUUCCAUAAUAUUUUUUUAGUACCUGUAAAAUGUAAACAUUUGUACAUAACCUAUGUUAUAUUAAAUCUGGAGACUAAAUAUUUAUCUUCUGUAAACUAAGAUCUACUGUCAACGUAUUAUAGUGAGCUUUAAAAAUGAAUAUAAAUUUAAUUUUAAUUUUACAAAUUCUCUAUAAUCUGUCAAAAGUUACUAAAAAAUUGAGGGAAAAUAGGACAGG